rnacentral:tRNA from 1 species
GGGAAUGUAGCUUAGUGGUAGAGUGCUUGCCUGGCACACUUGAGGCCUGGAUUCAAUUCCCAGUACACACA